AAAAACAACUCUCCUCUCUAUUCAAGGUCUAUUUUAAAAGCCUCCUACUCCCUAGCAGAAACCACAGAAGAGAUGUUGAACGUAUCAGUGUGGUAGUAGACCGAGGGCGAAGUCAAACAUCACACGCUACACGAUCUCACUGCAUUGACACAAUGGACCGGAGACACCUCCAUUUGCCACGGCUUCGCCUGCUGGUCCCUCAGCUUCGACAGGGGUGUCGACUCACAGCUGAUAUGAAUGAGGUGGAAAGCCCCCACACAAUAUAGUGAUUCUAUGCUAACGGCCGUGGACUGAACCUGUGACUCAUGCCAGUGCUACAUUUAAAGAAAGCACAGUGGGGGUGGCUGGCCAUGACUGGGUCUCGCUACACGCCUCCCAGAAUUCCCGUGGGAUGUGCUCCGGGUUUAGAGUCUCAGAACAGGCAGGAGAGGCUGAUUUCUGAAUGGGAUUUACAAGUGAAUAUAACUUUAUAUUGGUGAUUCACAUAGCGGAUGUGAUUCAUUUAUAAGUAUUUAUUUAUAAGUAUUUAUUUUCUACUCGUACUGUGAUGACAUUUAGUAUGAACGGAAGUGCGCAACACUGUCAUCUGUACAGGGUACAAGCCUUUUGUCUAUCCAAGGAGGUCAGUCACAAAUGUGUUCUUCUUCCUCCCAUGAGGUUGAAAUCAGGACAUUUACAUGGCCAAGAUAAACAUGUCGGACCAGCAACACAGCACGUACUCAGGCGCAGUGUAAACACAUUAUCAAUAUGGCUGGAACCAGCAGCAGGGUUCUCCAGUGUUUGCAGAGCAAAAGACAGGUAUUAUUAGAGGGGCACCUCACUUCACACACUCGUCACUCUACCUCCACUUUGUGUCCCACCACUCUCCUCAGUCACUCUACCUCCACUUUGUGUCCCACCACUCUCCUCAGUCACUCUACCUCCACCUUGUGUCCCACCACUCUCCUCACUGUCACUCUACCUCCACUUUGUGUCCCACCACUCUCCUCACUGUCACUAUCCUUGUGGGUGUAACGGAUGUGAAACGGCUAGCUUAGUUAGCGUGGGCGCUAAAUAGCGUUUCAAUCAGUGACGUCACUUGCUCUGAGACCUUGAAGUAGUAGUUCCCCUUGCUCUGCAAGAGCCGCGGCUUUUGUGGAGCGAUGGGUAACGAUGCUUCGAGGGUGACUGUUGAUGUGUGCAGAAGGUCCCUAGUUCGCGCCCGGGUAUGGGCGAGGGGACGGUUUAAAUUUGUACUGUUACAUUGAUGCUGUUGACCCGGAUUACUAGUUGCUGCGGAAAAAGGAGGAAGGUCAAAAGGGGGGUGAGGGACGGUGGGCGAGGGACGGUCUAAAUUUGUACUGGGCACCAAACAAUUUAUUCUCGUUCAAAAUCCUAUUUUCCCUAGCCCUUAAACCUAACCUUUUCCUUAAACUAAACCCUAAUUCUAACCUUUUUUAUUUGUAAUCCUAAGCCUAAAAUAGCCUUUUUCCUUGUGGGGACCAGCAAAAUGUCCCAGCAAGGAUAGUACACACACACACACGUCUUCCUCUGGAGGGAUUUCAAUCCAUAUGUGCUUUGAGAGACAUGUCCAUGUCCUCCUUUUUUUUUUAACUAGAAAAGUCAGUUAAGAAAUUCUUAUUUUCAAUGACGGCCAAGAAACAGUGGGUUUAACCACCUUGUUCAGGGGCAGAAUGACAGAUUGUUAACCUUGUCAGCUCAGGGAUUCAAUCUAGCAACCUUUCAGUUACUGGUCCAACGCUCUAACUACUAGGCUACCUGCCGCUCCUACAUAUGACCAAGCCUGUCCUGUCUUCAAGGCUCCCAUUUACUUUGUUAGAUAUCAGAUUACACUUAUUUCAGGAUGAUCCAAUGGUUAUAGUAAUAAGACAAGGCUGGCGUAUCUCCAAAGGACUUUUAUACGGUAGUUGCUUUUCAACUCAUCAUGCUUUUCUCUUAGCCUUCCCACCCCUACGAGGGGCUAGCUCAUCUCAGGCAAAGCUCUUCUAUGUCCUGGCGCUCAAAUAGUGGAACAAGCUUCCCCCUCAUGUCAGGACAGCUGAGUCCCUGCCCAUCUUCUGAAAACGUUUGAAAGCCCACCUCUUCAGAGUGCGUUUUUAUUUAUUUAUAUAUAUAAAUAAACCCUUGUCUUGAUUGCAGUAAAACUCUCACUUGUCUUUGCUCACUAGCACUGGCUUUGUUGAUAGCUACUUUAUUGAAGAAAAAUGUACUUACUGUGAUAUGUGGUUGUCUCACCUAGCUAUCUUAAGAUGGAAGUAAGUCGAUCUGGAUAAGAGCAUUUGCUAAAAUGUAAUGUAAACGCAACCCACUCAAUAAUUAUUAACCAUUUAUGUUUUUUUCCCAAACUUAUUUUGUGUUCUGUAACCUGGACUUGACCUAGAGGGGUGGCAGGUGGCCUAGUGGUUAGAGCGUUGGGCAAGUAACCGAAAGGUUGUUAGAUCGUAUCCCGAGCUGACAAGAUAAAAAUCUGUCCUCUCUAUAAACAAGGCAGUUAACACACUGUUCCUAGGCCGUCAUUGUAAAUAAGAAUUUGUUCUUAACUGACUUGCCUAGUUAAAUAAAGAUUUUUAAAAAGUGAGCAUCCCAGGAUUCUGCAGCAGCCAUGCACACAUAAAGCUGGCUACUGAGCAAUUAGCAAUUAACCCCAUUAAUGUAAUCAUUCAGCGGGCAUAUGUGGGUAACUGGCAAUCUUAAAAAGGGCUAAUUGGACAUAAAAUGAAAUGGCAUCAGCCAAGCGGUUAUGGGAAAUAAAAUGUCAUGUUUACUGUCACUGAAAUGGGGAGGCAGACGUCUUUUAGACUGUCCCCAGACAGACAUCACUACUAGCUCCAUGGUUAGGGCAGAGGAAAAGGGAGGAGUGCAGGCAGCAUUUAGCUAGGGGUCACUGGCAGGAUACAGCUCAUUAUCCUGUUUGGAACAGGCAGUGUCCCCUCACAUACAAAUCUUAUUUUUGGGGGGCAAAUGCGAUGAAUACAACAAUAUGCCCUUAACCAACAAUGCAGUUCAAGAAAUGGAGUUAAGAAAAUAUUUACUAAAACUAAAGUAAACAAAUCAAAAAGUAAAACAAGAAAAUGACAUAACAAUAGUGAGGUUAUAUACAUGGGGUACCGAGUGGUAUGCAUGGGGGUAAAGGUUAGUCAAGGUAAUUUGUGAAGUGACUGUGCAUAAUCAGCGAGUAGCAGCAGUGUUAAAAACAAAUGCUGUCAAUGUAAAUAGUCCGGGUGGCCAUUUGAUUAAUUGUUCAGCAGUCUUAUGGCUUGGGGGUAGAAGCUGUAAAGGAUCCUUUUGGUUCUAGACUUGGCGUUCCGGUACCGGGUGCCGUGC
rnacentral:lncRNA from 13 species